GCGGUUAAAAAGCUUGUAGUCGAAUCUGUGUCCCGCGCCGCCGGUUCAUCGCUCGCGGUGUUCAACUGGCGUGUCCGCGGAACGUCCUGCCGGUGGGCUUAGCCCGCAAGGGCGGCCCAACUUCAAAUCCCAUCGCGGUGCUCUUCACUGAGUGUCGAGGUGGGCCGGCACGUUUACUUUGAACAAAUUAGAGUGCUUAAGGCAGGCUAAAACUUCGCCUGAAUACUGUGUGCAUGGAAUAAUGGAAUAGGACCUUGGUUCUAUUUUGUUGGUUUUCGGAACCCCGAGGUAAUUGUUAAUAGGAACGGAUGGUGGCAUUCGUAUUGCGACGUUAGAGGUGAAAUUCUUGGAUCGUCGCAAGACGGACAGAAGCGAAAGCAUUUGCCAAAACCGCUUUCAUUGAUCAAGAACGAAAGUUAGAGGUUCGAAGGCGAUCAGAUACCGCCCUAGUUCUAACCAUAAACGAUGCCAGCUAGCGAUCCGUCGACGGUCCUCCGAUGACUCAACGGGCAGCUUCCGGGAAAUUAAAGCUUUUGGGUUCCGGGGGAAGUAUGGUUGCAAAGCUGAAACUUAAAGGAAUUGACGGAAGGGCACCACCAGAAGUGGAGCCUGCGGCUUAAUUUGACUCAACACGGGAAACCUCACCAGGCCCGGACACCGGAAGGAUUGACAGAUUGAGAGCUCUUUCUUCAUUCGGUGGGUGGUGGUGCAUGGCCGUUCUUAGUUGGUGGAGCGAUUUGUCUGGUUAAUUCCGAUAACGAACGACACUCUAACUAGCUGCUAACUAGGCGUAUUUUCGACAUCUCAAAGGUCCGUCAUCCCGGCCCUCGGGUCGUGGACGUGCGC
rnacentral:rRNA from 1 species